GCACUCCUUGGACGUUCUUGGACUUGGAGCUAGUCAAUGGUCUGCUAGUCAAUUCGAGAUUAUCCACAAUGUGCUCCGAUUUGUCCGGACUAUCCAGGAUCGUAUCAUUGGGCAUAGAGGAGUAUAAGUACUCAGUAGCUGUAAGAGUCUGAACUAGAAGUCUCAAUUCCACCUCACCUUGUGAUCUUGGACUGCUAGGUUUGACAAGCAUACUAAGAAGGUGACACAAUGUGAUGUGUGUAUCCCUUGUGGAAUAGGUUACUAGGUUUGGGUAUAUUGCCCGAAGUUUGGAUGAAUGAUGCCAAAUGAACUGUAGUUGGUCCUUUUUGAAUUCAAUUUUAAUUCUAGAGCAGUAGUUUUUAAUGGUUAAAAAGAUUUGUGGGACAAGAAUGAAGACUAAAGGUGGACAUGCGGCUCAUUCCUAAGAUUUUACCCACAUUAACCUUUCCGAUUCAAGUCCUCUGGGUGAAAUAACUGAGAACUAUUGUCAGGCAUAAUUUAUUCUUCAAAAGCACUCUACUUGGUGCCAUCAAAUAUUUCUUUGCUCUUACAACUUUGGUACUUGAUCACUAUAGAUUGCUAAAGUUAUGAUAAAGACUGGAAAGUUGUUGUCUGCAAGUCCUGUAUCUGGGGUUGAUGGUGAAGAAAAACAGCAAACCAGGACAUUCAAGUUUGGGGAUCUUCAGGUUGAAUUGACCCCUGGAAAAGCCUACAUUGGAGCUACCAUUGCAAUUAUCUUUAGUUUUCUUUCUUGGCAAUUGAGUCAAGGGGUACAGAGCAUACCAGAGAGCUCAUUACAGUACGCAAAUGACAAUGCCUUGUUGCUUGCUAAGUCCCUGCGAGGAACUCUGCUUGUGAUGUCCUAUGCAUCGACUGUUUUAUCUGCUUUUGCAACGGUGGGACUUAUUUUACUUGGGGGACAACUCAAGUCGGAAGAUAAGUGAGAAGUUCUAAAUUCUUGUCUAGCCUUAGUUGUAAAAGUAGAAACUCAAGAAGGUUGUAGCUGCAUAGGCUGCAAUUAUCAGGCUAGAAGAAUGUACCUUUCAGGACAUUCCGGUUGCUGAUAGACUAAAAUGUGGAUCAACAACCUGUUGCUGGAAUUCCAAUGGUAUCAGUAAACUCGGUUGGAUAACUAAGCAUCUUAUUUUGAAUGUGAUGGCCUCCUUAAAUUUGAGUAUAUCAAAGGUUCUUCGGUUGUAGCUUCAAUGUUGCAUCCUUGCUGACUGCAAAGCUUGUUGUAAAUAUUAUUUUGGCUUCUUGGAUUUUAAGGCUUUUAAAACAUUCAUACUUUUAGAAUGUCUGAAUCAUUUUUAAAUUUUUGCUUUAAGCCGCGUCUUCUGUCAGUCAAUGUAUCAAUAUUCCAUGUGA